UUGAGCAUCAAACUUUUAAAUUGAAGAGUUUGAUCAUGGCUCAGAUUGAACGCUGGCGGCAGGCCUAACACAUGCAAGUCGAACGGUAACAGGAAGCAGCUUGCUGCUUUGCUGACGAGUGGCGGACGGGUGAGUAAUGUCUGGGAAACUGCCUGAUGGAGGGGGAUAACUACUGGAAACGGUGGCUAAUACCGCAUAACGUCGCAAGACCAAAGAGGGGGACCUUCGGGCCUCUUGCCAUCAGAUGUGCCCAGAUGGGAUUAGCUUGUUGGUGAGGUAACGGCUCACCAAGGCGACGAUCCCUAGCUGGUCUGAGAGGAUGACCAGCCACACUGGAACUGAGACACGGUCCAGACUCCUACGGGAGGCAGCAGUGGGGAAUAUUGCACAAUGGGCGCAAGCCUGAUGCAGCCAUGCCGCGUGUAUGAAGAAGGCCUUCGGGUUGUAAAGUACUUUCAGCGGGGAGGAAGGUGUUGUGGUUAAUAACCGCAGCAAUUGACGUUACCCGCAGAAGAAGCACCGGCUAACUCCGUGCCAGCAGCCGCGGUAAUACGGAGGGUGCAAGCGUUAAUCGGAAUUACUGGGCGUAAAGCGCACGCAGGCGGUCUGUCAAGUCGGAUGUGAAAUCCCCGGGCUCAACCUGGGAACUGCAUUCGAAACUGGCAGGCUUGAGUCUUGUAGAGGGNNNNNNNNNNNNNNNNNNNNGUGAAAUGCGUAGAGAUCUGGAGGAAUACCGGUGGCGAAGGCGGCCCCCUGGACAAAGACUGACGCUCAGGUGCGAAAGCGUGGGGAGCAAACAGGAUUAGAUACCCUGGUAGUCCACGCCGUAAACGAUGUCUACUUGGAGGUUGUGCCCUUGAGGCGUGGCUUCCGGAGCUAACGCGUUAAGUAGACCGCCUGGGGAGUACGGCCGCAAGGUUAAAACUCAAAUGAAUUGACGGGGGCCCGCACAAGCGGUGGAGCAUGUGGUUUAAUUCGAUGCAACGCGAAGAACCUUACCUGGUCUUGACAUCCACGGAAGUUUUCAGAGAUGAGAAUGUGCCUUCGGGAACCGUGAGACAGGUGCUGCAUGGCUGUCGUCAGCUCGUGUUGUGAAAUGUUGGGUUAAGUCCCGCAACGAGCGCAACCCUUAUCCUUUGUUGCCAGCGGUCCGGCCGGGAACUCAAAGGAGACUGCCAGUGAUAAACUGGAGGAAGGUGGGGAUGACGUCAAGUCAUCAUGGCCCUUACGACCAGGGCUACACACGUGCUACAAUGGCGCAUACAAAGAGAAGCGACCUCGCGAGAGCAAGCGGACCUCAUAAAGUGCGUCGUAGUCCGGAUUGGAGUCUGCAACUCGACUCCAUGAAGUCGGAAUCGCUAGUAAUCGUGGAUCAGAAUGCCACGGUGAAUACGUUCCCGGGCCUUGUACACACCGCCCGUCACACCAUGGGAGUGGGUUGCAAAAGAAGUAGGUAGCUUAACCUUCGGGAGGGCGCUUACCACUUUGUGAUUCAUGACUGGGGUGAAGUCGUAACAAGGUAACCGUAGGGGAACCUGCGGUUGGAUCACCUCCUUACCUUAAAGAAGCGUACUUUGCAGUGCUCACACAGAUUGUCUGAUGAAAA
rnacentral:rRNA from 1 species